UGGUGAGCGAUGAUUAUAAAAUAAUUCCUCGUUCUGAAUGCUGUCGCCCAGCUUGUAGACCUUUUCUACACCCAUAGAAUAUGAGCUCAC